rnacentral:rRNA from 1 species
UACGGGGGGGGCAAGCGUUGUUCGGAAUUACUGGGCGUAAAGGGUUCGUAGGUGGCCAACUAAGCCAGACGUGAAAUCCCUCAGCUUAACUGGGGAACUGCGUCUGGGACUGGAUGGCUUGAGUGCAGGAGAGGAACGCGGAAUUCCAGGUGUAGCGGUGAAAUGCGUAGAUAUCUGGUGGAACACCGGUGGCGAAGGCGGCGUUCUGGACUGCAACUGACACUGAGGAACGAAAGCCAGGGGAGCAAACGGG